CCGGAGCUAAUACCGGAUAAUAUUUUGAACCGCAUGGUUCAAAAGUGAAAGACGGUCUUGCUGUCACUUAUAGAUGGAUCCGCGCUGCAUUAGCUAGUUGGUAAGGUAACGGCUUACCAAGGCAACGAUGCAUAGCCGACCUGAGAGGGUGAUCGGCCACACUGGAACUGAGACACGGUCCAGACUCCUACGGGAGGCAGCAGUAGGGAAUCUUCCGCAAUGGGCGAAAGCCUGACGGAGCAACGCCGCGUGAGUGAUGAAGGUCUUCGGAUCGUAAAACUCUGUUAUUAGGGAAGAACAUAUGUGUAAGUAACUGUGCACAUCUUGACGGUACCUAAUCAGAAAGCCACGGCUAACUACGUGCCAGCAGCCGCGGUAAUACGUAGGUGGCAAGCGUUAUCCGGAAUUAUUGGGCGUAAAGCGCGCGUAGGCGGUUUUUUAAGUCUGAUGUGAAAGCCCACGGCUCAACCGUGGAGGGUCAUUGGAAACUGGAAAACUUGAGUGCAGAAGAGGAAAGUGGAAUUCCAUGUGUAGCGGUGAAAUGCGCAGAGAUAUGGAGGAACACCAGUGGCGAAGGCGACUUUCUGGUCUGUAACUGACGCUGAUGUGCGAAAGCGUGGGGAUCAAACAGGAUUAGAUACCCUGGUAGUCCACGCCGUAAACGAUGAGUGCUAAGUGUUAGGGGGUUUCCGCCCCUUAGUGCUGCAGCUAACGCAUUAAGCACUCCGCCUGGGGAGUACGACCGCAAGGUUGAAACUCAAAGGAAUUGACGGGGACCCGCACAAGCGGUGGAGCAUGUGGUUUAAUUCGAAGCAACGCGAAGAACCUUACCAAAUCUUGACAUCCUUUGACAACUCUAGAGAUAGAGCCUUCCCCUUCGGGGGACAAAGUGACAGGUGGUGCAUGGUUGUCGUCAGCUCGUGUCGUGAGAUGUUGGGUUAAGUCCCGCAACGAGCGCAACCCUUAAGCUUAGUUGCCAUCAUUAAGUUGGGCACUCUAAGUUGACUGCCGGUGACAAACCGGAGGAAGGUGGGGAUGACGUCAAAUCAUCAUGCCCCUUAUGAUUUGGGCUACACACGUGCUACAAUGGACAAUACAAAGGGCAGCGAAACCGCGAGGUCAAGCAAAUCCCAUAAAGUUGUUCUCAGUUCGGAUUGUAGUCUGCAACUCGACUACAUGAAGCUGGAAUCGCUAGUAAUCGUAGAUCAGCAUGCUACGGUGAAUACGUUCCCGGGUCUUGUACACACCGCCCGUCACACCACGAGAGUUUGUAACACCCGAAGCCGGUGGAGUAACCUUUUAGGAGCUAGCCGUCGAAGGUGGGACAAAUGAUUGGGGUGAAGUCGUAACAAGGUAGCCGUAUCGGAAGGUGCGGCUG
rnacentral:rRNA from 1 species